CAGCCGCCACGGGAAUACAGAGGACGCAAGCGUUAUCCGGAAUGAUUGGGCGUGAAGCGUCUGUAGGUGGCUUUUCAAGUCCGCCGUCAAAUCCCAGGGCUCAACCCUGGACAGGCGGUGGAAACUACCAAGCUGGAGUACGGUAGGGGCAGAGGGAAUUUCCGGUGGAGCGGUGAAAUGCGUAGAGAUGUGGAGGAACACCAGUGGCGAAGGCGACUCUCUGGUCUGUAACUGACGCUGAGGAGCGAAAGCGUGGGGAGCGAACAGGAUUAGAUACCCCGGUAGUCCCUGUCUCUUAUAC
rnacentral:rRNA from 1 species